rnacentral:rRNA from 1 species
CCUACGGGAGGCAGCAGUGAGGAAUAUUGGUCAAUGGACGCAAGUCUGAACCAGCCAUGCCGCGUGCAGGAAGACGGCCCUAUGAGUUGUAAACUGCUUUUGUACGAGGGUAAAUGCAGAUACGUGUCUCUGUCUGAAAGUAUCGCAUGAAUAAGGAUCGGCUAAGUCCGUGCCAGCAGCCGCGGUAAUACGGAGGGUCCAAGCGUUAUCCGGAUUUAUUGGGUUUAAAGGGUGCGUAGUCGGUUGUGUAAGCUAGACGUGAAAUGCCGAGGCUCAACUACGGAAUUGCGGCGGAUACUGGGUGGCUGGAGUGUAGGUGAGGUAUGCGGAAUGCGUGGUGUAGCGGUGAAAUGCUUAGAUAGCAUGAAGAACGCCGAUGGCGAAGGCAGCAUACGGAAGUGCUACUGACGUUGAGGCUCGAAGGCGCGGGGAGCAAACAGGAUUAGAUACCCUGGUAGUC